rnacentral:tRNA from 1 species
UUACUUUGGCAGAUUAGUGUUUUAAAUUUAGAGUUUAAAUAUGUAUUAUAAUACAAGUAAUAA